GCCAGGAGCUGCUCCAACCCCUACCCCGAAGGGGACGGGGAGGGGGGGGGGAAAGAGACCCGCGCGUGCGCAUCAACCAAUGAGGUGAAUACAAGCGAGGCAACGGAGGGUGCAGAUAAAGAGCAAUCGUCCAAUCAGGUACCUUGAAAAUAAGCCUGGCCAAUAGCUGACAAGAAGAAUGAGGACUCUAUAGUGAAACAAAAGAUUAGAAAACCCUACCUUUAUACCAGAACAGAUGGCUCAGCUGAUCACGCAAAUUUGAAGACUGUUCAACGCUGUGGGAGAGUUUAACAAGUGGAUAUAGAUACUUAGCUAUAAUUGCUGAAAAAAAAGACUUCCACAACAUAAAGGAUGCAUCUAGCUGUUUCAGA